AGAAACUCACACAGACGCUUUUAUAGAGCUCCAGAGGGCAGACAACACGAAAAGUAUCAGAAUGAUGACUUUGACCUUUGACUUAAUUAUGCUGACACGGAAAGCUCAUCAUCCAGAGCUAAUUGCAACACUCUUGGAUAGCGGCUAAAGUCAAUCACGGCUAUUCGAAACUAACGCAAAAUUUAUUUUACUAAUAAAUAAAAUUAUUAU